rnacentral:tRNA from 1 species
UGGCGUGGUGGUGAAAAUGGAUGAACACACCGGCCUUUCACGCCGGGAUUUGCGGGUUCGAGCCCCGUCCACGUCAUC